GACGAACGCUGGCGGCGUGCUUAACACAUGCAAGUCGAACGGAAAGGCCCUGCUUUUGUGGGGUGCUCGAGUGGCGAACGGGUGAGUAACGCGUGAGUAACCUGCCCUUGACUUUGGGAUAACUUCAGGAAACUGGGGCUAAUACCGGAUAGGAGCUCCUGCUGCAUGGUGGGGGUUGGAAAGUUUCGGCGGUUGGGGAUGGACUCGCGGCUUAUCAGCUUGUUGGUGGGGUAGUGGCUUACCAAGGCUUUGACGGGUAGCCGGCCUGAGAGGGUGACCGGCCACAUUGGGACUGAGAUACGGCCCAGACUCCUACGGGAGGCAGCAGUGGGGAAUAUUGCACAAUGGGCGGAGGCCUGAUGCAGCAACGCCGCGUGCGGGAUGACGGCCUUCGGGUUGUAAACCGCUUUCGCCUGUGACGAAGCGUGAGUGACGGUAAUGGGUAAAGAAGCACCGGCUAACUACGUG
rnacentral:rRNA from 1 species